GAGCUUGCUUCUCUUGAGAGUGGCGCACGGGUGCGUAACACGUAUGUAACCUACCAUUGUCAGGGGGAUAGCCUCUCGAAAGAGAGAUUAACACCGCAUAACAUUAUUGAGCAGCAUUGCUUAAUAAUCAAAUAUUUAUAGGACAAUGAUGGGCAUGCGGGACAUUAGCUAGAUGGUGAGGUAACGGCUCACCAUGGCGACGAUGUCUAGGGGAUCUGAGAGGAUGACCCCCCACACUGGUACUGAGACACGGACCAGACUCCUACGGGAGGCAGCAGUAAGGAAUAUUGGUCAAUGGAGGCAACUCUGAACCAGCCAUGCCGCGUGCAGGAAGACGGCCCUACGGGUUGUAAACUGCUUUUGUACCGGAAUAAACCUUUUCACGUGUGAGAAGCUGAAUGUACGGUAAGAAUAAGGAUCGGCUAACUCCGUGCCAGCAGCCGCGGUAAUACGGAGGAUCCAAGCGUUAUCCGGAUUUAUUGGGUUUAAAGGGUGCGUAGGCGGCUUAUUAAGUCAGGGGUGAAAGGCGGUAGCUUAACUAUCGGAGUGCCCUUGAUACUGAUGAGCUUGAAUGCAGCUGAGGUAGGCGGAAUGUGACAAGUAGCGGUGAAAUGCAUAGAUAUGUCACAGAACACCGAUUGCGAAGGCAGCUUACUAAAGUGCGAUUGACGCUGAGGCACGAAAGCGUGGGGAUCAAACAGGAUUAGAUACCCUGGUAGUCCACGCCCUAAACGAUGAAUACUCGAUGUUGGCGAUAUACGGUCAGCGUCUAAGCGAAAGCGUUAAGUAUUCCACCUGGGGAGUACGCCCGCAAGGGUGAAACUCAAAGGAAUUGACGGGGGCCCGCACAAGCGGAGGAGCAUGUGGUUUAAUUCGAUGAUACGCGAGGAACCUUACCCGGGCUUGAAAGUUAGUGAAUGAUACAGAGACGUAUCAGUCCUUCGGGACACGAAACUAGGUGCUGCAUGGCUGUCGU
rnacentral:rRNA from 1 species